GACUAGCUCAGUUGGUAGAGCAUGAGACUCUUAAUCUCAGGGUCGUGGGUCCGACCCCCACAGUGGGCACCA
rnacentral:tRNA from 1 species